GAAGCUCAACGGGAUCGCGCUCCGGGUGCCCACCCCGAACGUGUCCGUGGUGGACCUGGUGGUGCAGGUCUCCAAGAAGACCCUGGCCGAGGAAGUGAACGCCGCGUUCCGCGACGCCGCCGCCAACGAGCUCAAGGGCAUCCUCGACGUCUGCGACGAGCCGCUCGUGUCCGUCGACUUCAGGUGCUCCGACGUCUCCUCCACCAUCGACGCCUCGCUCAGCAUGGUCAUGGGCGACGACAUGGUCAAGGUCAUCGCCUGGUACGACAACGAGUGGGGGUACUCGCAGAGGGUCGUCGACCUCGCAGACAUCGUUGCCAACCAAUGGAAGUGAUAUCGAUGAAACGGCAUUGCCCUGUGACUAGCUCCUCUGGAAAUUUUCCCCGGCCGCAUCCUCCUCCGCCGC
rnacentral:lncRNA from 1 species